UACGGAGGCCCCGAGCGUUGUUCGGAAUUACUGGGCGUAAAGGGUGCGUAGGCGGCGGGGUAAGUCAGAUGUGAAAGCCCGGGGCUCAACCCCGGAACGGCAUCCGAUACUGCCUUGCUAGAGGGUUGGAGAGGAAUGUGGAAUUCAUGGUGUAGCAGUGAAAUGCGUGGAUAUCAUGAGGAAGGCCAAAGGCGAAGGCAGCAUUCUGGACAACAACUGACGCUGAGGCACGAAGGCCAGGGGAGCGAAAAGG
rnacentral:rRNA from 1 species